UCAAGCUACAAAGAGCACAAGGGGAAUGCCUUGGCACCGAGAGCCGAAGAAGGACGUGACUAACUGCGAUAAGCUACGGGGAGCUGUAAGUGAGCGUUAUAUCCGUAGAUUUCCGAAUGGAGCAAUCCGAUUAGAGGAAAGUCUAAUCAUCAUAUACUGAAUACAUAGGUAUAUGAGGGGAACCGCCUGAACUGAAACAUCUAAGUAGGGCGAGGAAGAGAAAUCAACUGAGAUUCCGUAAGUAGUGGCGAGCGAACGCGGAAGAGGCCAAACCUAAUGUAGUAAUAUGUUAGGGGUUCGGACAGUAAAAUGAAUUGUCGAGAUUUAGCCGAAUGUCAUGGGAAGGGCAAUCAAAGAAGGUGAAAAUCCUGUAGGCGAAAAGUUAAGACAUCAGACUGUAUCCAGAGUACCGCCGGACACGUGAAACCCGGUGGGAAUACGGGGGGACCAUCCUCCAAGCCUAAAUACUACUCGGUGACCGAUAGAGAAGAAGUACUGUGAAGGAAAGGUGAAAAGCACCCCGGAAGGGGAGUGAAAGAGAACCUGAAACCUUGUGUUUACAAGCACCGAAAGUUCAUCAACGAACGAUCGGGUACCUUUUGUAGAAUGGUCCGGCGAGUGAAUGUAACUGGCAAGGUUAAGCACUUAAGGUGUGAAGCCGUAGCGAGAGCGAGUCUGAAAAGGGCGCAUGAAGUCAGUUGUAUUCGACCCGAAACCGGGUGACCUACCCAUGUCCAGGCUGAAGUGCAGGUAAAACUUCAUGGAGGGCCGAACCGACUCCCGUUGAAAUGGUAGCGGAUGAGGUGUGGGUAGCGGAGAAAUUCCAAUCGAACCCGGAGAUAGCUGGUUCUCUCCGAAAUAGCUUUAGGGCUAGCCUUGGAAUAGAUUACUGGAGGUAAAGCACUGAAUUGGCUAGGGGCCGAGAGGUUACUGAACCUUAUCAAACUAAGAAUGCCAGAUAAUCGUUUUCCAGGAGUCAGACAGUGGGAGAUAAGUUUCAUUGUCAAAAGGGAAACAGCCCAGACCUACAGCUAAGGUCCCAAAGUAUAGUUAAGUGGAAAAGGAUGUGGAAUUGCAUAGACAACCAGGAUGUUGGCUUAGAAGCAGCCACUCAUUAAAAGAGUGCGUAAUAGCUCACUGGUCGAGUGAUUCUGCGCCGAAAAUUUAACGGGGCUAAACUAUACACCGAAGCUUAGGAUACCGCAAGGUAUGGUAGGAGAGCGUUCUGUACGGAGUGAAGUCGUAGCGAAAGCGGCGGUGGACUGUACAGAAGUGAGAAUGCCGGAAUAAGUAGCGAGAAUUAAGUGAGAAUCUUAAUGGCCGAAAGUCUAAGGUUUUUGGAGGAAGGUUCGUCCGCUCCAAGUAAGUCGGGAGCUAAGGUCAGGCCGAAAGGCGUAGCCGAUGCACAAACGGUUGAUAUUCCGUUACCGUCUACAAUUUAAACAAAGGGACACAUACAAAGCGUUUAACCCGGGCGAUGGUUGACCCGGGCGCAAGGGACUGAAAUAAGAGUAGGGAAGUAAAUGUGGCGUAUGGCGAGAAAAGCUUUGUGUAUAGAAGUAGACGCCCGUACCGCAAACCGACACAGGUGGACAGGAAGAGAAUUCUAAGGCCAGCGGGAGAAGGGUAGUUAAGGAACUCGGCAAAUUGACUCCGUAACUUCGGAAUAAGGAGUGCUCGAAAGAGCCGCAGAGAAUAGGCCCAGGCGACUGUUUAGCAAAAACACAGGUCUCUGCCAAAUCGAAAGAUGAAGUAUAGGGGCUGACACCUGCCCGGUGCCGGAAGGUUAAGAGGAGGAGUGCAAGCUCCGAAUUGAAGCCCCGGUAAACGGCGGCCGUAACUAUAACGGUCCUAAGGUAGCGAAAUUCCUUGUCGGGUAAGUUCCG
rnacentral:rRNA from 1 species